CAGCACGCACGUCCCAUCCUCACACCAGCUUGUACGAGACGUGCUCAAAGCGUACACAUCCCUUCUGCGUGCAAAUCUUGUCGCACAUAGGCGGACCAUUCGUGCGUCACUUCGUGCACGGACUAGCACCGAACACUAUGCGCAUGUCGUUCGCACAACAAGCCUGCACAGAUAAGCCCUGUGCACCUAGGGCUUGCACGGAUUAGGCCUGCGAGCGUGGCACCUUGUGCGCCUAGGCUCUGCAAGCGCUCAAACUAGCCCCUGCACACGCAACAGCAGAUUUGUGCGCCUGUAGGCUAGCCUACAGUGCGCCACUACUACCUUAGGCAACGCGCCACCGCUGCCGGUGGAGGAAGUCUUCCUCCCUCGGUUUUAUGCCAAGAAUAUUUUUCUCCUAUCUCUUCACCAAAUUUUGCCACUUGGAACAAAUCGAACUGUUCUGAAAUUCUA
rnacentral:lncRNA from 1 species